GUGUGGUGAAUGUGGAUCCAAGUUCAAAAAAGUAAAAACAAAACUUAAAAGACGGUUGUUUUAUGUACAGAACUUGAAACAACGUGGACUCGGGAGAGCAACGGACAAAAUAGUGGAAGAAACCAUCGAAAACCAGUUAGCUUAAAUGCUAAGGGAUGAGCGGAGUAGGACAUUAGCUGCACGUGAGGAAAUCAGUUGCACUUUGACCUCCAGUCAACCUCGGUCUGACCCCAGGAAGACACUGCAUUUUGGGGAAGCCCUCUCAGUGACCUCAUCCAUCACAGCAGCAGCCAGGGAACAGGUUCCCCCUCUUUCUGCGGCCUUCGCAGCAUUGUGUCUCCAACAAUUACACCGAUAUAACACUCUUCUUCUCUUGUUCCACUUGUCCUCCAUCUCUCAACACGCCCUCCGAGCUCCCUGGGAUUUCUAGGCCCCUGCUAAACUUCACAGGUCAUCGUGUCUCUGCUCCACUGCGGAUAAAGUUUUAUUGAUAUUAAUGUUUCACAAAAUCUGAUCUCAGUAUGUUUUACUGACAUACCGAGAAACUCGUCAUUGCAUCAUCAAUGGAAAAACAGGUUACGAUGUUUUGAAAGAGUUCUACAAUGUCUCUGGAUUCAGAUGCCAUGACAGACUUCAUCCAGGUUCCUGUGGGGUUGUUGACUGUUG